ACGGUUUUACAUACAUAUUUUGCCAACUUUAAUUUUCUAAAAUUUUGUCUAUCUAGAGAAAAAUACACGGAACAAUUACAGAAUUAGGCAUUUUUUUUCAGAUUCUUAUGGUUUCAGGACUUAUCACCCGUGCUUACAGAAUUAGGCAUUUUAAUUUACAUAAUAUGACAAAAUUGCCCUUGAAAACUAUUCUCUCUAUUUCACGAUUCUCUCUCGUCUUAGAUCUCUCCGAACUUGCCGUCGCCGACCACCUUUAAAUGGUAAGAUCUCUUAGUCGAUCCACGUCUUGCUGACCGCCGGCAAUUUCGAUAGAAGGUAAAUAAUUGGUGUUAAACGUGAUGGAGAUAGUGCUGAUGGGAAGGAGAGAAGCCAUGGUUUUAAUCAGGAGAGGAAGCGCAUGAUUUGAUCGGAAGAAGAAAAAUAAUUAUUGUUGUUCGGUGAAGAAGACGAAGAAGAGAUGGUGAAGAAGAGAUAGGGGCAAAACUGAUUUUUUACUACUCCAAAAAUACCUAAAUACGAGAGUAUGAACUAUAUAUAGUCCCUAAAUUCAAAGAUUUGGCCCAAUAAAGCCUCAAAUC